GGGGAUUUAGCUCAGCGGCAUAAGCGCCUGCCUUGCAAGCAGGCAGUCAUGGAUUCAAUCCCCG
rnacentral:tRNA from 1 species